GCCAAGUUGGUUGCUAAGUAUAGGCCAGCUGUUCCCAUCCUCUCAGUCGUCGUUCCAGUUUUAACUACCGAUUCUUUCGAUUGGACUUGCAGCGACGAAUCCCCAGCCAGACACAGCUUGAUCCACAGAGGCUUAAUUCCUAUAUUGGCUGAAGGAUCUGCUAAGGCCACAGAUGCCGAAUCCACAGAAGUAAUACUUGAAGCUGCACUGAAAUCCGCUAUGGGGAAGGGACUGUGCAAACCUGGGGAUGCCAUCGUCGCACUUCACCGAAUCGGAGCUGCCUCCGUCAUCAAGAUAUGCAUUGUGAAAUGAAUCAAACAAACAAGCAAAUUCAGCAUCUG
rnacentral:lncRNA from 1 species